GACUCGGCGAACCCUGGCAAGCAAACAAGAGAUCCGCCGAAUCUGAUCUGGCACCAAAAUUCCAACUAAUCCAGUAAAAUACGGCGAAGGCAAACAUCAAACCUCAUCGCCCUCCAACUCGGCCUCGCCAUUCUCGUCAACGUGGGGGGCGUGUUAUUUAAUUUAAGAGGCGUCGUUCCAGAAACCGGGUUCGAACCAGCUAAUUGAACUAAGCUCGAGUCAAAAAGUGCUAACGUGGGGACACCAAAGGGAAGUCUCCAUAAAGAGAGAGAACUGAGAAGAUACAACCCCAAAAUUGAAUUUUCUUAGCUGAACUUCCUUCGGUGCCCUCACGCGAACGACGAAAUCACCGGAUGUGCCCUUCAACAGAAGAAGAUCCCGAGGGCAAAUCAGGAAAAAAGUCAGUAAAAUUCACCGUCCUCUCCUUCCUUUGCACCCAAGUCGCCGUGGCUUUCAAUCGCCAUAAGAAUCCACACGAACCUGCGAGACCGGAAUCGAGGUUCGAAUCCGAGCAAUGCGGACAAAGAUCGCGAUCGAUCACUCUCUAUCUCGCUGCGCGAUGGCGCCAUUUGAUCGCGUCUGCGCAUGCGAAACGUGCGGCGAUUGGAUUUUUCCCGUGGCGCGGUUUUCGGUUUUUUCUCGAUGACGCUGUUCGAUCCGAUUCUCUCGUAGAAUGUAGAGCGGAACGGGUCGUGGUUGGGAGUGAUGGUUGUUCUGACAACGCUUGAUUGCAGCGAGUGGAGUGGGGCGAGAGAACUUUGAGUGAGGUCCAAGGCUCAUAAAGCUGUUUACAAUCACGCUCUUGUGACGAUGGUCGUGGAGUAUGCAUCUGUAUUUACAUGUCAGAUUUGACAGAACUUUUUAGUUAGACAUGUCCUGGUUGUGAUGGAAAGACCAAGGUAAUCUGACUGCAUUUUAAUAUGACAUUGUUGCUAAGGUUGCGUAAAGAAUAGGUCCUCAGUACUAAAUGGCCAAUUCUUGAGAUGAGAUUUUGUGGGCAUAUGCUGCCUUCUCUUAUUAGCUUCUGACUGGUUAUUAAUGCCUUUGGAUUUGAAAGUAGGGGUUCUAAUUCAUUGAUCUGAUAGUUGACGUCCAGCACUGCUUAUAGGUAUGUAAUUCAUGUUGCAGUGGCCUACCAAUUUGCGAUGCCUGUGAUGCCUCUAUGUUUGAAUUUCAUCUAAUUUUUUGUCCUUAUUUCUAAUCAAUAUAUAUUACCUAUAGGCAUCUAUUGGCGUGGCCAGGACCUUAAUGCUGCGGUUAUAGCUUUCGAAGGUACUCAAGAACAUAGGUUCAUCAUGGAUUUAUUAUGCUUGUCGCUAUACGACGGUGCAACCUGGUACUUUGGAUGCUGUUAGAAGAGCCAGGAUUUGACAUCAAUGUCAUGGUGAUAGGGCAUUCUAUGGGAGGGCCUAUGGCAUACUUUUGCGGACUUGAUAUCAUGGUACGGCCGUAUAAUAUAGGAUUUGUUUGUCUGGUUUAUUAGGUCAAGAAAGUUUGUGAUGGCUCUGGAGAAGAUCCAAUUUGCAGCAGAUUGGUAACUGGUAAUAGCCUCACGGACCAUUUACUCUACUAUGGUGCAAAAUUAAUGGCGGAGACGUGGGGAACGUGCAAAAUUGUCAUGGACCCACGAUUCAAGGAAUAUGGAAGCGAAGACAAAGGAUACCUUAUGCUUUCCAGGAAUCCUUCUUCUUCUGCAUUGAGGCUGCGUUAAGACUCCGAUGCCAAGAGUAACUUAACGUAAAAUGCUCCCAAGUCAGCACCUAAUUUCGUGAAGAUCAUUAGGUAACUCUGGAUGAAGUUUGUUCAUGUAAUGCAUUCCAUCAAUCUGUUUCCAUGUCCAUCACAAGAUGCAUAGGAUCUCUACUAAAAUUCACUUGGAAUGUAAAUAGCAUGAAGUUGAAUGUAUCAUCCUUGUAAACACAACUUUGUGGUACAUAUUGAAUGAAUGCGCUUGCAAGUUUACCUGUCAA